rnacentral:misc_RNA from 1 species
AACGCACAUUGCGGCCAUAGGUAUUCCUUUGGCCAUGCCUGUUCGAGCGUCAUUUACACCCUCAAGCCUAGCUUGGUGUUGGGCGUCUGUCCCGCCGUUCUCGCGCGCGGACUCGCCUCAAAGUCAUUGGCGGCGGUCGUGCCGGCCUCCUCGCGCAGCACAUUUGCGCUUCUCGGAGGCCCGGCGGAUCCGCGCUCCAGCAAGACCUUUCACGACUUGACCUCGGAUCAGGUAGGGAUACCCGCUGAACUUAA